AGGCUGCUCUGGUGCGACACAAUGAUCGCUGCGUUGCUUCUCCGUCCAAACUCUAACCCUAGCUCGCGAUUCUCCGGCAUGGACGUCUCCCUCUACGGUCGACGGCGUCGCUUUUUCGUAAGAAAUUCCCCCGUUUCUUGCUUCUUUUUCUUCUCUAGCAAGAAAUGGGAUUCCUUAGCUGGUGAUUUCGUGCUUCGAGCCGCCGUUGAAGAUCGCGGAGAAUCCUAACGCGUCUUGAGGUCGAGGAACAAGCGCAUGAAAACGUCGGAUGAUAAUUCCUUAGCUGGUUAGAUGUUUAAUGUCAUUUACAAGUGAAAGAGUGGGGAGAGGAAAUGGUCUCCCACCAGUGGAAAAAUCCUAAUUCUUAGGUCAUUAUUGUAUAUUAAAUAAACAUCUAGAAAGAUGAUGCCUAACAGCAUGAGGAGUGAUGAUGCCUAACAGCAUGAGGAGUUGCAAAAAACCUGAGCUGUUAUUAGAACAGGGAAGGACUAAAAUUGUUCGAAAAAAAAAUGAAGCCAAUUUGAUCUAUGAUCUCAUAUUCUUAUGAGAGCGAACAGUUGCCAGAAUAAUUAUUCUGUAUGUCAUCAGAAAGGAACUCCCUGAACAAGCUAGUCGACCAUACCGCAGCUCAUGUUGGUAUGAUGUAUCAUAACAUCUCGAGAAUUUUGAAGAUGUAUUCCAUCUGUGUUGAGGCUGCUGCCUGGUGAAGCAAUUGUCAUAUUGAAGACCUGGACAGCUUCACAAUUAUCAAACUUGAGGUGGCACUGUUGACUAUUCUGGAUUGUGAUGCCAGUUACUGUCACAUUGUAACUCCCAUAGAACCUCAAAGCCUGCAAAACAGGAUUAGAUAAGAACAUGGAUUCAAAAUGUUAUUCAUAUUGUCUUGGGCAUUGCUUAUUUUGUGGCAGCAAGGUAAAGAAUAGAAUCUUACAGUUGGCUUGA